CCAUUUCAUGAACUACUUCAGACUUCAAAAC
rnacentral:piRNA from 1 species